CUUAGCUAAGAGAUAAAAGAA
rnacentral:snRNA from 1 species